UGCAGAGAUAGUAUGUGAUUGUUUGAGAUCCCACAAUAGAUUGGUUUUCCCAUAUUGUGUAAAACUACACCCUGACUGUGGGGUUAGGCAUUGCUCUGUAUAAGACAUGGAAUCUCCAGAGAGGCUCCUUGAAAACUUAAUCUGUGUGCUGGAAGCCUCACUUCAACUAUUGCUCUCAAACACUGAUGUCUAAGUAAAGGGAUAAGAUGGAUUGUAUUUCAAAUCUGGAGUGGGUGGUUGUUAUUUAGAAUCACAUUGGAAUAAAGGAGGAAGGAAACUCCUGAAGAAAAGUCUUUGGAUCACUGGAGUGAAGAUGCUGAUCUUUAUCUUGCAGUCUUAAUAGCCUUGGCUGUGGAGAAAAAAAUUAAUUCAUAAGUGAUGCAGUUGAAUGGACCGAGCAGGAAGCCCCAAGGGAAGUGGGUGUGGAACAUGCAAGGAAGUUCUUUUCAUAAAUUAAAAAGGAGAGAGAAUAUUUCAUCACAUGAAAUGCAGAAAGAAACUAAAGUGUUUUGGUGUUGUAUGGAAGCAAGGCAGCAUAAAGGAAACCCAUCUGUGAAAGAUAUGACUAAGGAAACAUAAAUUCCUGGCAAUCUGCAAAAAUUAUGGCUGCAAUGGGACUUUCACAUUGGAAUCAGAGUCCCAGGAAAUCUGAGAGAGAUCAAUCUUCCAUCCACUGGUUUACUCCCCAAAUGCUUGUAACAGCCAGGGCUGGCUCAAUCUGAGGGUAGGAGCCCGGAACUCAAUAUUAGUGUGAAUAGAACACAGAAUACAAUACUACUCUAGGUGUUUUAGGGAGAAAGUUGUUUGAUACAGGAAUCUAUGUGUUUAUCAACUAGUGGAUGGAGUGGAGGAGUAGGAGUCAAGGGACUAUUCCCAAUUAUGGCCAAGGCUUCAGAAACUCCUGCUGCUAUACACGCCUCUUGAAAUCAGUAAGUUUGGGUUUUUGACACUGGAACCCUGUGUGUAACGGCCAGAAUGGUCUCUCAUUAGUGAUACUGCGAUGACCUUGUUUGCUAGCAGAGAGAUCUGCAUGAAUAUAGCCUAGUGUUCAUUUUUGUGAAUCUCGGGCAAGCACAUCUAACUGGCAGCUCCUAAACUGUAUCUGCAACCCUAGUGUCAGGGAUUCUGGGAAGUAUAGACUUUAGUUUGCUUGCUUUGUGGAAUAGGAGGGUUAAAUGGAGGCUAUAGUACAAAACCAUGGGACCUGCCACUUCGCUUGACUUGCAAAUUUUAUCUGCCUAUGUACUGCUCAGUCUACAGCAGUCAUUUCUGAGAUCUUGGUCAACUGUCAGACUUCCUGUUGCUGUUUGAUUUUCUAUAGAGUAACAUUAGCAAACGUUAUUGCUUUUUACCCUUAAAGGAGUAACCUGUUCCCUGACAGGUAAACAGAAAAUUUAGGUUUUUGGAAAGGAGUGGUAACUUCAAAUUGUCACUAGGACAGAGGAAACAGAUUUGAAAUGUGAUCAUUCAUAAAUAUCAUGUCAUAUUCACUGUAUUAAACCAUCUUAAAAAUUCAAGCUCUCCCUUUGGAGUGACUUUAGGAACAUAGAGGGUUCUGGAGAAUUCUCUACUGAGGAGGAGAAUCUGAAGAUAGAUUUCCUUCUUGGGUUGAGAAUAACCGUUCUAAUCCAGACAUGUGGGAUAUGUUACAAUGCAUAGUUGUCCGGUCCUGUCUGAAAAAAAAAAUAAUGCUGAUUCUGCAACUGAGUGUGGCCUGCAAGAGCUUGUCCAUGUGGAAGACACACGCUUAGUCUUUAACCACUUUUCCCUUUGCACAGCCAUAUUCUGCAGAAGGCCACAAGUACAGCAUGUUAAUUCAAACUUUUCAAAACCAUGAAACCACUGAAUAUCUCAAUAUCCUCGUAUGGACUCUCAUUUGCCUACCCUGUGCUAACAGAGAAACAUUUGGUUUUAAACAAGACUUUAUUUAAGGGGAAAAAGUGUAUAGGAUUACAUUUGAAAAUGUAAUUACUGAAAAGAUAAACCAUAUGUUAGAGUCUUUGUUUUACCUCCUUUUCACUGAAGCUUGCUUUCAAGAGUUCAUUUGGAGGUGUAUGGAAAUUCUAAUAUUAUAACCACGCUGGAUGGGCCAAAUGCAGCUUACUCACCGGUCAUGUGUUUAUAUUUUGAUGUGGUUACUGCCAAUGUAUCAUAUAGUCCAGUGGUAUAGUCUUACUAAAAAUGAACACAAAAUAUUAAUUCAGAGAAACUGAGCAUGAGACUCCAUACUUACCCCUCUCAUCUGCUCACUGUCACCCUUCAGGAGACUGGCUAAAGAGGUUUUAAGAAGGAUGAAGAGACAUGUGGUUGAAAGUGGGAAUGUAUAAAGAACAACAAUUGUGUUUUCUGUUUUUUUUGACUUUAGGUUGAAUAUGUCAUGUCCAUGCUAUUGAAUAUAAAUAAAAAGAUUGAGCUCUCAAAGAUACUAAAAUCC
rnacentral:lncRNA from 1 species